UACGUAGGGGGCAAGCGUUGUCCGGAUUUAUUGGGCGUAAAGAGCGUGUAGGCGGCCAGGUAGGUCAGCUGUGAAAACUCGAGGCUCAACCUCGAGACGUCGGUUGAAACCACCUGGCUAGAGUCCGGAAGAGGAGAGUGGAAUUCCCGGUGUAGCGGUGAAAUGCGCAGAUAUCAGGAAGAACACCCGUGGCGAAGGCGGCUCUCUGGGACGGUACUGACGCUGAGACGCGAAAGCGUGGGGAGCGAACAGG
rnacentral:rRNA from 1 species